AGACAGCCUUACAUAACGAAACCCCAGUGCUGGGGAGCUCUCUGAAUGUCAUCACCAGCAAGAGUAAGAAGUAUUGGCAGAAGCAGGCAGGCAGGCAGGCUGGGAGUUUGCAUGGAAAUCAUAAAGUCUUUCUUGUCUUCCUCUUUUGAAAUAUUUUGGAAGGAGAGUUAAGAAUAGCUCAGAAACUGGUCUCAUUCUUUUCGUGGGAAGAAUGACCAGAAGCAUAAAAGCUAAGUCUUCUAGCAAGUGGAAGACUCCUCUUUCAGUGUCUGCAGUAAACGUAACAAAAAUGAAUUGCUAUCACUAAAGUCCUGUACCAUGACACCUAAGAUGACGGAAAUGGUAAAGCAAAGUAAUAACUCAAAGACUGUCACCGAGGGCUUUUGUCUACAUUUAGCUCAAUGUGCUUGGAAUUUAUUCCUUCUAUUUGUUGCCUCAUCCUCUUGAGAUGGCUGCCUGACUUCCCGCAUCCUAACUGCAUUCCAGGGAGAAGCACAGGAAGAGCAAAAGGCAUAAGACAUAUGCCAGGAACGUGACCUCAUCAGACAGUAAAUCAAGAGGUAGUGACAACUAUGGCUGAAUGAUGGUCCCUGCCUAGGAUUUGGAAUAUCUGCAUGAAAUAGGGACUCGAGCCACCAGUGACAAAGAAGUCAGAGGGACUGUUGUCUCUGGGAAGCACUUCCAGGAAACAUGAAUUCAGGCAAAGUUGGACAUUCCAAAGAUGGCGUAGAUGAACAUGACCAGGAAGAGCAGAAGGCCGAUGUUAAACAACGCGGGAAGGGACAUCAUCAAAGCAAAGAGCAGCGUGCGGAUCCCCUUUGCUCCUUUGAUCAGACGCAGGAUUCGGCCAAUCCUGGCAAGACGGAUCACUCGGAACAGGGUAGGGGACACAAAAUACUUUUCAAUCAUAUCAGCCAGAAACAUACCUGUGUGUGGAGGGAAAUAAUAGAAAUAAAAUAUUUAAAUAUCUAUGCUAC